CGCAAAUGUUUCUCACAUUGGGUUUGCUUCUUCUCUCACGUCCUAUAGAAAGAAGCUGAAUUUGGGUAAUUGGUAGAAAGUCGUGUUUUAUUAUCAUUGGGUUUUGUUGCUUCUGCGUUUGGUUUGUGAUGGGCAGUUUGUGAUACAUUCAUAUUCGAUUAAUCCGGUGUUUCUCAGUUUGGAUUGUCUUACUCAAAUGGUGAGAAGUAUAAAAAUAGCAGUUACUUUUUCGAAAACCAAGGAGCACAUCCAUUGAAAAUAGCUUCAGUUAUUACAGUAUUUUGCAUUAUUAUUUAUUUUAUGUUAACAUCCCAAAGUUCAGUUGUUCAUGGUCUGUUACACUGUGCUUUGAGUUUGGAAGAUAAUUUACCCGUAGCAACGCGCAUGCACUAUAAACUGUUUCAGUUUAGAUGAAAGUUACAAAACUAAGAUAAUGAUAAAGACUUAUGCUUCACAAGUAAUUGGUUCUGCUGUCGUUAUCGAAUGUGUUGCUUAACUAAAAUCUAUACCCUUUUUCUUCAUCUAUUCUUGCUGCUAAUCUACUAGAAGUUCUCCGAGGGUGUGCUGAGAAGCAAUUGUAGCAGACUUCUGAUCCAGUUACCAUUUUCGCUUAAUGUACAUAGCUCAUCAAGAUGAUGUUUCUUAUCAGUGCUAUUGUGCCAUGUGGGCAUAGCUGCAAAUAUGGGGGAACUGAUAAGGGAGGUUACAAAAACUGGAAGUGAAAAGAAAAUAAGGGAAGAAGGGAGUAUCAGUAGAGUGGAAGAGGGAAAUGGGAAGCUGUCAUGGUGAGCUCAGAAAAUAUUUUGCAGAGCCAUUAAUUUCACUCACUUCCUAUGAUAAUGUAACCACAUUAGGUCAAGUAGGAUUGGGUUUGUAGUUGGGAGGAAGGAGAAGAGACUGCGUUUUGAGCUACAGGAGUGAAGAAGUCACAGUGGCAUUUUGGAAAGAACAUGGACUGGAAUUUGAUGUUGACAGUAUUCGAGUAUCACCUCCCAUUUUGACAGUUGCCACUGGCUUCAUAAUCAGGCAAUAUCAAAGUAUGAAGAAAUAACAGUUCCGUCAAUUAGUCCACUUCCAGUUCUGAUAGUUGCCUAGCUCCUCUGUGAUAUACUUCUCAUCUUUUUAACAGCUUGGAAAAGUGUUCAAGGAAUGCUGCAUAUGUGCUGAGGUUUAAGUUGAUUUUGCUCGGGUUUGUGUUGAGCUACCUAUCGUUCUAUUGGUCUUUGUUUUCCCUUAAUUUGUUUAUGUAAAUUUUGGAAGUGCCAUUCAUUGGUAGGGAAGAAACUCCAGACAACAAAAUAUGAUUGAGUUUUGUUUGUCUCUCUUACUUUAUAAGUCUGUUUGGUUUAAGUUUUGAGUGGGGAUUAUUUGGGUCGACAAAUCGUUAACUUUAAUUGUCGUUAGGGACUGAGUAUCUGUGUGUUUUUGGGUGUGUAAGUUACAGAUAACAAAACAUUGAGGAUGCUCGAAUUUAUU